AAUGAACGUUGGCGGCGUGGAUUAGGCAUGCAAGUCGUGCGCGAACUGUAGCAAUACAGGGAAAGCGGCGUAAGGGAGAGUAAUACGUAGGUAUCUACCCAUGGGUCUGGGAUAGCGGCGGGAAACUGCCGGUAAUACCAGAUAACGUCUCCGGACCAAAGGUGUGAUUCCACCUGUGGAGGAGCCUACGGCCUAUUAGCUAGUUGGCAGGGUAACGGCCUACCAAGGCUUGGAUGGGUACGGGGUGUGAGAGCAUGCCCCCGCUCACUGGGACUGAGACACUGCCCAGACACCUACGGGUGGCUGCAGUCGAGAAUCUUCGGCAAUGGGCGCAAGCCUGACCGAGCGACGCCGCGUGCGGGAUGAAGGCCUUCGGGUUGUAAACCGCUGUCGUAGGGGAUGAAACGCUAGUGAGUUAUCUCAUUAGUUUGACUGAACCUAGGAGGAAGGGCCGGCUAAUCUCGUG
rnacentral:rRNA from 2 species